rnacentral:rRNA from 1 species
AUACGUAGGUGACAAGCGUUAUCCGGAUUUACUGGGCGUAAAGGGCGUGUAGGCGGUCUUGCAAGUCAGAAGUGAAAUUCCUGAGCUCAACUCGGGCGCUGCUUCUGAAACUGCAGGACUUGAGUGCUGGAGGGGAUAGCGGAAUUCCUAGUGGAGCGGUAAAAUGCGCAGAUAUUAGGAAGAACACCGGUGGCGAAGGCGGCUAUCUGGACAGUAACUGACGCUGAGGCGCGAAAGCGUGGGGAGCAAACAGGAUUAGAUACCCUGGUAGUCCACGCCAUAAACGAUGAAUACUAGGUGUAGGGGGUAUCGACCCCCUCUGUGCCGACGUUAACACAAUAAGUAUUCCGCCUGGGGAGUACGGCCGCAAGGUUGAAACUCAAAUGAAUUGACGGGG